GGAGGAUUAGCUCAGCUGGGAGAGCACCUGCCUUACAAGCAGGGGGUCGCAGGUUCGAACCCUGCAUCCUCCACCA
rnacentral:tRNA from 1 species